rnacentral:rRNA from 1 species
GGGAGUGAAAUAGAACCUGAAACCCUGCACUUACAAGCUGUGGAAGCACAUUUCUUGUGUGACCGCGUACUUUUUGUAGAACGGGCCAACGAGUUACGUUAAGUAGCAAGGUUAAGCACUUAAGGUGUGGAGCCGUAGCGAAAGCGAGUUUUAACUGAGCGUUCAGUUACUGGACGUAGACCCGAAACCGGGCGACCUACCCAUGAGCAGGAUGAAGCGAAAGUAAAAUUUCGUGGAGGUCCGAACCCACGAGCGUUGAAAAGCUCGGGGAUGACUUGUGGGUAGCGGUGAAAUUCCAA